UUCCAAGGUGAGCCUCUCUCCAAGGUGCCAACUAGUGACUCCCAACCCCCAGCAACGUAGCAAUCUGGGAUAGAAUCUGGCAUGCCCAAGUCUGUGGGGCUAAGAUGAUGUUUCCUUUUGACCUCUGGCUGUCUACAUAU
ensembl:snoRNA